GUGAAUCAUCAAAUUUUUGAACGCAAAUUGCACUCUCUUCGGAGAGUAUGCCUGUUCGAGGGUCAGCCUAAAAAAAUCGGCAUAGUUUGUGUUUCGCGGUUACAGUCGGCGGAAAUUGGGUCAUCUUAAAACUUUGGGUUUUAAGCGGCUUAAAAUUUUCUUUACGAUUCCACGAACGUUUCUAAGAUUUUACUUCUUACACUUUUAAUGGAUCGAUCUUUAUUAGACGUUGCCGUUUUAUCCUAUCAAGU
rnacentral:misc_RNA from 1 species